UCCUCUCUCUCUCUCUCUCUCUCUCUGGACAUGAAUCAUCCCAUGGCCAAGGAAUUCAAUGUCCCUCCGGUGGUGUUCCCCUCCGGAGGAACACCUGCAUCGUUUGCAACAGCGGCGGCUUUCGACGGUACCGUUCUAGUUGCCAUAGUCCACAAACCCUAGCAUCCCAUUCAUGUCCUUCGACAUCGUUCUUGGCUCCGCAAUUCGGUGGUAAUAUUUCGGGAAUCGAAACCGGGUUGGAUGACAAACCACCUCUACUCAAAAAGUUUGGAAUCAAUACGAGACAAAUUUGGAGCAAAACUGUAUCGAUUGUGAACCCGUUUAGGGUGAACACGAAUCUACAAGAAUAUUCUAAUUUGUCAGAUUACAUAUGGUACAGUACUUAAGUUGAUGCAUAAGAAGACAAAGGUCCAGCUGCAUUCACAUGAGGUUCCAUAUGGAUCUGGAAGCGGGCAGCAGUCAGUUACAGGUUUUUCUGUUGUUGAUGAUUCAAAUAGUUACUGGGUACUCUCUAUAUCUCUUUCUCAUUUUCAAGGCAAGGUCACGAUUGUCACGACCUCCACUCAGGGAAUCGGCUCUAGCAUCGCCAAGCAUCUCGGCUUCGCAAACAGGUUUUGAUUGUUCUGCAGAAAGAUGUAGAUAAGGCAGUGGAGAAGCUUAAACCAAGAGGAAUUGAAGUGUUUGGAGUGGCUUGUCAUGUGUCUGUAGCUCAACAAAGGAAGAAUCUGGUAGAAAGAUUGUUCAGGUUAGAAAUUAUUUGGAGAGAUGCAAAAUAUGGUCAAAGAACUCAAAGACUUUGUGCUUCAAGUUUUUUUUCAUUUUUUUAAUAUAUGUAAUCACAGUUAAUUUUUUUAUUAUUAAUUUCUUUAUAUAUAUUUUUGAACAUUCAACUUUUAUUUUUGAAAUAUGUGACGU